rnacentral:tRNA from 1 species
GCCAUCAUAGCUCAGUUGGUAGAGCAGCUGAUUUGUAAUCAGCCGGUCGGCGGUUCAAGUCCGUCUGAUGGCUCAA